GACGGACGCUGGCGCGUGCUUAACACAUGCAAGUCGAACGGAAAGGCCCCAGCUUGCUGGGGUACUCGAGUGGCGAACGGGUGAGUAACACGUGGGUGAUCUGCCCUGCACUCUGGGAUAAGCCUGGGAAACUGGGUCUAAUACCGGAUAGGACCGUGCUUUAGUGUGUGCGGUGGAAAGUUUUUCGGUGCAGGAUGAGCCCGCGGCCUAUCAGCUUGUUGGUGGGGUAAUGGCCUACCAAGGCGGCGACGGGUAGCCGGCCUGAGAGGGUGUACGGCCACAUUGGGACUGAGACACGGCCCAGACUCCUACGGGAGGCAGCAGUGGGGAAUAUUGCACAAUGGGCGCAAGCCUGAUGCAGCGACGCCGCGUGGGGGAUGACGGCCUUCGGGUUGUAAACCCCUUUCGGCAGGGACGAAGCUUUUGUGACGGUACCUGCAUAAGAAGCACCGGCUAACUACGUG
rnacentral:rRNA from 1 species